ensembl:lncRNA
CCGUUUUUUGUCAUAUUUAUUUAUUCAUCUAUCUAAACUGUAGGAAUGUUGAAGGGCUGCAGCUCGCAUGCUGCAGCGUGGCGGUUCAUUGAGUUUCUGAUUGACAGCGUGAGAGAGAAGAUGUCGUCUGUCGCCCAGCAGCAGAGAGAACGAACAGACAUUCGUAACUCUGGAGUUGCACUUGACUGCGUCAUUAGAGACGCUCACACGUCCCGAUGAACUUGGGGUUUGAAUUUGCUUUAUUUGUAGAGAAUUGAACUUGUUUGUGCUUUGAGUUGCCUGACUUCAUUUUUUAGAAGCAUUCAUGUUUCAAUCAAAAUGUUCCAUAUCGGAAACCUGUUCAUUGACUAAAUAUUCUCUUCUUCUUCCGCCUGAUGUCUGAUUACAGGAGGAAGUGAGUCAACAAUUGAAAUCAGGCUUAAAAUGUCGACUGAAACCUUUGUGUGUCAUUAAAUACACAAACGCUCAUUAACUCAAGAUCAUUGUUGUUUCACUUCAUUCAAGUCAACGAGUAAUAAAGAACAUGUGAUUCUCUUUGGUCUGAAGAAAACAAGACGGAUUCAUUUGGUUUUAUUUUUAUUAAAAUUUAUUUUCAUUGUUAAAAUAAUAAACAGAUAUUUAUAAACAAUAAUAAUAAACAACAUAUUUAACAAUAAUAAUAACGCAAUCAUUGGGAAAACAUCUGAAGCAGUUCCUGAGAAGAGAGAAAAGAAGAAAAGUUAUUAACAUGUUAAUGUUGUUAGUGUGUCUGUGUGUACAUCUAAUUGUUAGUGUGUCUGUGUGUACAUCUAAAUAUUAAUAUGUCUUUGUGUACAUCUAAUUGUUAGUGUGUCCCGAUGACGUAGCGUCCCGAUGACGUGGCGUCCUGAUGGCGUCCUGAUGGCGUCCUGUUGGUCUGCAGACAAGGAGAAGAGACAUCUGGAUUUGCUCCUGAGGGGUUGACGCGGCGUCCUGAUGGCGUCCUGUUGGUCUGCAGACAAGGAGAAGAGACGUGAGGAGGAUCAUCAGGAUGUGUCUAUCUGGAUUUGCUCCUGAGGGGUUGACGCGGUGUCCUGAUGGCGUCCUGAUGACGUGGUGUCCUGAUGGCGUCCCGAUGACGUAGCGUCCUGAUGGCGUCCCGAUGACGUGGCGUCCUGAUGGCGUCCCGAUGACGUGGCGUCCUGAUGGCGUCCCGAUGACGUAGCGUCCCGAUGACGUGGCGUCCUGAUGGCGUCCUGUUGGCCUGCAGACAAGGAGA